GCAUAUCAAUAAGCGGAGGAAAAGAAACCAACAGGGAUUGCCCUAGUAACGGCGAGUGAAGCGGCAACAGCUCAAAUUUGAAAUCUGGCUCUCUUUGGGGGUCCGAGUUGUAAUUUGCAGAGGAUGCUUUGGUAUUGUCGGCGGUCUAAGUUCCUUGGAACAGGACAUCACAGAGGGUGAGAAUCCCGUACGUGGUCGCCUGCCUUUACCGUGUAAAGCUCCUUCGACGAGUCGAGUUGUUUGGGAAUGCAGCUCUAAAUGGGAGGUAAAUUUCUUCUAAAGCUAAAUACCGGCCAGAGACCGAUAGCGCACAAGUAGAGUGAUCGAAAGAUGAAAAGUACUUUGGAAAGAGAGUCAAAAAGCACGUGAAAUUGUUGAAAGGGAAGCGCUUGCAGCCAGACUUGCCCGCAGUUGCUCACCUAGGCUUUUGCCUGGGGCAUUCUUCUGCGGGCAGGCCAGCAUCAGUUUGGGCGGUUGGAUAAAGGCCUCUGUCACGUAUCUCCCUUCGGGGUGACCUUAUAGGGGAGGCGUAAUGCAACCAGCCCGGACUGAGGUCCGCGCAUCUGCUAGGAUGCUGGCGUAAUGGCUGUAAGCGGCCCGUCUUGAAACACGGACCAAGGAGUCUAACAUCUAUGCGAGUGUUUGGGUGUCAAGCCCGAGCGCGUAAUGAAAGUGAACGGAGGUGGGAACCUUUUAGGUGCACCAUCGACCGAUCCUGAUGUCUUCGGAUGGAUUUGAGUAAGAGCAUAGCUGUUGGGACCCGAAAGAUGGUGAACUAUGCUUGAAUAGGGUGAAGCCAGAGGAAACUCUGGUGGAGGCUCGCAGCGGUUCUGACGUGCAAAUCGAUCGUCAAAUUUGGGCAUAGGGGCGAAAGACUAAUCGAACCAUCUAGUAGCUGGUUCCUGCC
rnacentral:rRNA from 1 species